rnacentral:tRNA from 1 species
UAAGAAAUAGUAAAAUAAUUACAUGGACUUGUCGAGUCUAAGUUGUUAGGUUCACUAGCUUUUUUAA